rnacentral:pre_miRNA from 1 species
AAGAUGCUUAAGUCUCUGGGUGGAACUCCCACACCUGGGACUUGCAGCCAUGUUUCCCUUAAGCAAUAGGGACGGGAUGCACGAGAUGCAGCAGUUGGAAACAUGGCUGCAAGUCUCAGGUGUGGGAGUUCCACCCAGAGACUGGAACACCA